rnacentral:rRNA from 1 species
GGGGUGCGGACAGUGUCUGGUGGGUAGUUUGACUGGGGCGGUCUCCUCCCAAAGAGUAACGGAGGAGCACGAAGGUUGGCUAAGCAUGGUCGGACAUCAUGCGGUUAGUGCAAAGGCAUAAGCCAGCUUGACUGCGAGAGUGACGGCUCGAGCAGGUACGAAAGUAGGUCUUAGUGAUCCGGUGGUUCUGAAUGGAAGGGCCAUCGCUCAACGGAUAAAAGGUACUCCGGGGAUAACAGGCUGAUACCGCCCAAGAGUUCAUAUCGACGGCGGUGUUUGGCACCUCGAUGUCGGCUCAUCACAUCCUGGGGCUGAAGUAGGUCCCAAGGGUACGGCUGUUCGCCGUUUAAAGUGGUACGCGAGCUGGGUUUAGAACGUCGUGAGACAGUUCGGUCCCUAUCUGCCGUGGGCGUUGGAAGAUUGAAAGGGGCUGCUCCUAGUACGAGAGGACCGGAGUGGACGCACCACUGGUGUUCGGGUUGUCAUGCCAAUGGCAUUGCCCGGUAGCUAAGUGCGGAAGAGAUAACCGCUGAAAGCAUCUAAGCGGGAAACUUGCCUUGAGAUGAGUCUUCCCUGACUCUUUAAGAGUCCUAAAGGAACGUUUAAGACUAAGACGUUGAUAGGUUGGGUGUGUAAGCGUAGCGAUACGUUGAGCUAACCAAUACUAAUGAACCGUGAGGCUUAACCUG